rnacentral:tRNA from 3 species
GGAGAGGUACUCAAGAGGCUGAAGAGGCGGGUUUGCUAAACCUGUAGGGGGACGUAAGUUCCCGCGAGGGUUCGAAUCCCUCCCUCUCCGCCA